CGGUGCCAGGCCUCGCGGACACACGCACCCACCCACACACAAACAACACUGGGACCUCAAACCCAGCGAAGCACACAAAUAAAGCACCUGACAUUAGACCCGGCUACCGGUGCAACACCAGAUACCUCUUCCCAACCACUGCGGCAACACAAGCAACUGCGAGACUGCACGCCAAGAAGAGACACACUGAAGCUGACUCCCAAAACGGAGAUAUUGGGCCAUGCGACCGCGAGG